rnacentral:misc_RNA from 1 species
GCGCGUUAAGAGAUAUAUUUUACACAAUGUUGCUACUAUUUCUGAGUUAGUAUAGCAAUUUAAUGUGUCUAUUUCAUUCAGUGAAGGACUGUAGGCCAUGUCUUGGACAAAUUGUAACAGGAAGGAACUGUAGGCCAUGUCUUGGACAAACUGUAACAAGAAGGGACUGUAGGUCAUCUCUUGGACAAGCUGUAACAAGAAGGAACUGUAGGCCAUGUCUUGGACAAGCUGUAACAAGAAGUAACUGUAGGCCAUGUCUUGGACAAGCUGUAACAAGAAGGAACUGUAAGUAUUCUCUUGGACAAGCUGUAACAAGAAGGAACUGUAAGUAUUCUCUUGGACAAGCUGUAACAAGAAGGAACUGUAAGUAUUCUCUUGGACAAGCUGUAACAAGAAGGAACUGUAAGUCAUCUCUUGGACAAGC